CAACAUUCACCAGUUUGUUGGCCACUUGGUGUAGGACAAGGGUGCCAGGUUAAAAGAUAGGUUAGGUACAUUCAGUUCUGGUACUGGAUGCGCUAGGAAUAUUGUUAGCUGCUUGACACAAACUCUGCUUGGUGGCUCCUGUUGCUUGGAACAUCAGCUGGUAAGACUCUGUGUCAUAGCCACUGAUGUCAAAUCAGGAGGGAGCUGUAGCAGUCUGCUUCAGUCUGCAUGGAGGUCAGAAGCUCCAGAGAGGAAAGUGGUCUUCCCUGAUGGGGGAAGGCAGAGAAAGAGAGCUGAUGUCUCCAUGGAUUGAUACAAAACAUUCACCUUUAAGAAAAGGGCUCAAACCGACACCAGAGGCCACAGUCUGCGGAGAUGUUUGAAAAAGGAUGACGAUGGACGAACAAUGGCUCUUUCCAGAUUGUAUUUUCUACCAUUCAGAAAGCCAGUGAUUCCUAUGACAAUAUAAUAUGUUUCUUGUUAUAACGUGAAAACUAAAUGGUUAAAAAGUAUUGUUAUUACAUAAAGCAUUUCACUUUAUAAUAAAACUUA